rnacentral:misc_RNA from 1 species
UUUCCGUAGGUGAACCUGCGGAAGGAUCAUUAAUGUGUUUGGGCCUCACGGCUCUUCAUUCCGACGCUGUGCGCCUUCGGGCUGCACGCUGAGGGAGCAUAUAUCCACCCCUGUGCACACACACGGUGGCGAGCUGGGUAACGGCUCGCCGCUGAUCUUUACACACGUCUAAAAGUCAUUGUAAGUUUAUUUGAGAUAAAAACACAACUUUCAGCAACGGAUCUCUUGGCUCUC